rnacentral:rRNA from 1 species
UACGGAGGGGACUAGCGUUGUUCGGAAUUACUGGGCGUAAAGCGCACGUAGGCGGAUUUGUAAGUCAGGGGUGAAAUCCCGGGGCUCAACCUCGGAACUGCCUUUGAUACUGCAAAUCUCGAGUCCGGAAGAGGUGAGUGGAAUUCCUAGUGUAGAGGUGAAAUGCGCAGAUAUCAGGAGGAACACCAAUGGCGAAGGCAGCUCGCUGGGACGUGACUGACGCUGAGACGCGAAAGCGUGGGGAGCAAACAGG